UUGAAGAGGUGGGGAUAGGGGAUUACGAAUGUCCAACAUUCGUUUUCUCUAAGUUGGAAACGAAGAGGAUGCAUUGACUAUGGAAGAGGGGUGUGAUUUUGAAGCUACUGGGAUGAAGGAUUGGUUACAAAGCAUUAAAAACCAAACUGAUGAAACAGGUGUGGGUGAGAAAGGGAGUAAUCUACAUAAUAGAUUAAGCAAUGACUAUUUUUUGGUUACUUUCUCUCAUGAAGAUGAUAAAUAUGAUGCUCUUAUGGAUGGGCCAUAAAUU
rnacentral:lncRNA from 1 species